rnacentral:rRNA from 1 species
GAUGAACGCUGGCGGCGUGCCUAAUACAUGCAAGUCGAGCGAACGGACGAGAAGCUUGCUUCUCUGAUGUUAGCGGCGGACGGGUGAGUAACACGUGGAUAACCUACCUAUAAGACUGGGAUAACUUCGGGAAACCGGAGCUAAUACCGGAUGAUAUUUUGAACCGCAUGGUUCAAAAGUGAAAGACGGUCUUGCUGUCACUUAUAGAUGGAUCCGCGCUGCAUUAGCUAGUUGGUAAGUUAACGGCUUACCAAGGCGACGAUGCAUAGCCGACCUGAGAGGGUGAUCGGCCACACUGGAGCGGAGACACGGACCAGGCUCCUACGGGAGGCAGCAGUAGGGAAUCUUCCGCAAUGGGCGAAAGCCUGACGGAGCAACGCCGCGCGAGUGAUGAAGGUCUUCGGAUCGUAAAACUCAGUUAUGAGGGAAGAACAUAUGUGUAAGUAACUGUGCACAGCUUGACGGUACCUAAUCAGAAAGCCACGGCUAACUACGUG